GCGGGUAAUUGCUCAGACAGAGGGAGAGACCGACCGCUUGAUCACUCGUGAAUGAACGAAAGCACAAUUGAAAGGAAAGCAUGAUGUAUUGAAACUUA